CAGCCGCCACGGUAAUACGAAGGGGGCUAGCGUUGUUCGGAAUUACUGGGCGUAAAGCGCACGUAGGCGGAUAUUUAAGUCAGGGGUGAAAUCCCGCAGCUCAACUGCGGAACUGCCUUUGAUACUGGGUAUCUUGAGUAUGGAAGAGGUUAGUGGAAUUGCGAGUGUAGAGGUGAAAUUCGUAGAUAUUCGCAGGAACACCAGUGGCGAAGGCGGCUAACUGGUCCAUAACUGACGCUGAGGCGCGAAAGCUAGGGGAGCAAACAGGAUUAGAUACCCCGGUAGUCCCUGUCUCUUAUAC
rnacentral:rRNA from 1 species